rnacentral:rRNA from 1 species
UACGGAGGGUGCGAGCGUUAUCCGGAAUCACUGGGUUUAAAGGGUGCGUAGGCGGUCUGAUAAGUCAGUUGUGAAAUUCCUCGGCUUAACCGAGUGGACUGCGAUUGAUACUGUCAGACUUGAAUCAGGUUUGAGGUAGGCGGAAUGUGACAUGUAGCGGUGAAAUGCUUAGAUAUGUCAUAGAACACCGAUUGCGAAGGCAGCUUGCUGGGCUUAGAUUGACGCUGAGGCACGAAAGCGUGGGGAGCAAACAGG